rnacentral:rRNA from 1 species
AAACGAUGUCGACUUGGAGGUUGUGCCCUUGAGGCGUGGCUUCCGGAGCUAACGCGUUAAGUCGACCGCCUGGGGAGUACGGCCGCAAGGUUAAAACUCAAAUGAAUUGACGGGGGCCCGCACAAGCGGUGGAGCAUGUGGUUUAAUUUGAUGCAACGCGAAGAACCUUACCUACUCUUGACAUCCAGAGAACUUUCCAGAGAUGGAUUGGUGCCUUCGGGAACUCUGAGACAGGUGCUGCAUGGCUGUCGUCAGCUCGUGUUGUGAAAUGUUGGGUUAAGUCCCGCAACGAGCGCAACCCUUAUCCUUUGUUGCCAGCGGUUAGGCCGGGAACUCAAAGGAGACUGCCAGUGAUAAACUGGAGGAAGGUGGGGAUGACGUCAAGUCAUCAUGGCCCUUACGAGUAGGGCUACACACGUGCUACAAUGGCGCAUACAAAGAGAAGCGACCUCGCGAGAGCAAGCGGACCUCAUAAAGUGCGUCGUAGUCCGGAUUGGAGUCUGCAACUCGACUCCAUGAAGUCGGAAUCGCUAGUAAUCGUAGAUCAGAAUGCUACGGUGAAUACGUUCCCGGGCCUUGUACACACCGCCCGUCACACCAUGGGAGUGGG